rnacentral:rRNA from 1 species
AUCUACAACCAUUCCACCCUGGACACACCUGAUCUCAGAAGCUCAAAAGGGUUAGGCCUGGUUAGUUUUUGGAUGGGAGAAAGAGACAGAGAGAAAGGUCUCGUGGUCU